rnacentral:rRNA from 1 species
AUGCAAUCUUUAAAGAUUAGCUACGAUUGCCUCCCUUUUGAUCUGAAGAAAUGCUUUUCCUAUUGUGGCCUUUUCCCUGAAGAUCAUGAGUUUACUUCUUCAGAUAUUAAUCAUUUCUCGGUUGCAAUAGGCAUCAUAGACUCUGAUCACCAAGCCGAUAGGAAUUACUUGGAAGAACUAGUGGACAAUGGUUUUCUCAUGAAGAAGAAAAAGUAUGUUUGGAGUGAUCAAUACUACUAUGUAAUGCAUGAUUUAAUGCAUGAGCUAUCUAAGAUUGUUUCUGCACAAGAAUGCCUCAAUCUAAGUGGCUUAGAUUUCAGAGCUGAUGCCAUCUCACAAUCUGUUCAACACUUAUCUAUCAACAUAGAAGACAGAUAUGAUGCAAAUUUUGAGCAAGAAAUGUGUAAACUAAGGGAGAGGAUAGACAUUGCUAAUCUGCGGAGUUUGAUGAUUUUUAGAGGAUAUGAAGAAGAAAGAAUCGCCAAGAUUUUGAAAGAUAGCUUCAAGGAAAUAAACAGUCUGCGUGUCCUAUUUAUAGUGGUGAAGUCUGCACAAUCUUUUCCAUAUAGGUUUUCAAAACUGAUCCACCUACAGUACCUCAAAAUUAGUUCGUCUUAUAGAGACCGGGAAAUGAGUUUACCUGCUACACUAUCAAGAUUUUAUCACUUGAAAUUCUUGGACCUAGAUGGUUGGCGUGGUUGUUCUGAUUUGCCUGAAGACUUGCCACCUUGA